AAUCCAUAGGUUAAUGAGGCGAACCGGGGGAACUGAAACAUCUAAGUACCCCGAGGAAAAGAAAUCAACCGAGAUUCCCCCAGUAGCGGCGAGCGAACGGGGAGGAGCCCAGAGCCUGAAUCAGCAUGUGUGUUAGUGGAAGCGUCUGGAAAGGCGCGCGAUACAGGGUGACAGCCCCGUACACAAAAGCGCAUGUGCUGUGAGCUCGAUGAGUAGGGCGGGACACGUGGUAUCCUGUCUGAAUAUGGGGGGACCAUCCUCCAAGGCUAAAUACUCCUGACUGACCGAUAGUGAACCAGUACCGUGAGGGAAAGGCGAAAAGAACCCCGGCGAGGGGAGUGAAAAAGAACCUGAAACCGUGUACGUACAAGCAGUGGGAGCACAGGUUUACCUGUGUGACUGCGUACCUUUUGUAUAAUGGGUCAGCGACUUAUAUUCUGUAGCAAGGUUAACCGAAUAGGGGAGCCGGAGGGAAACCGAGUCUUAAUUGGGCGUUAAGUUGCAGGGUAUAGACCCGAAACCCGGUGAUCUAGCCAUGGGCAGGUUGAAGGUUGGGUAACACUAACUGGAGGACCGAACCGACUAAUGUUGAAAAAUUAGCGGAUGACCUGUGGCUGGGGGUGAAAGGCCAAUCAAACCGGGAGAUAGCUGGUUCUCCCCGAAAGCUAUUUAGGUAGCGCCUCGUGAAUUCAUCUCCGGGGGUAGAGCACUGUUUCGGCUAGGGGGCCAUCCCGGCUUACCAACCCGAUGCAAACUGCGAAUACCGGAGAAUGUUAUCACGGGAGACACACGGCGGGUGCUAACGUCCGUCGUGAAGAGGGAAACAACCCAGACCGCCAGCUAAGGUCCCAAAGUCAUGGUUAAGUGGGAAACGAUGUGGGAAGGCCCAGACAGCCAGGAUGUUGGCUUAGAAGCAGCCAUCAUUUAAAGAAAGCGUAAUAGCUCACUGGUCGAGUCGGCCUGCGCGGAAGAUGUAACGGGGCUAAACCAUGCACCGAAGCUGCGGCAGCGACGCUUAUGCGUUGUUGGGUAGGGGAGCGUUCUGUAAGCCUGUGAAGGUGGCCUGUGAGGGUUGCUGGAGGUAUCAGAAGUGCGAAUGCUGACAUAAGUAACGAUAAAGCGGGUGAAA
rnacentral:rRNA from 1 species